rnacentral:miRNA from 1 species
UCAUUUGAUCACAAGCAUGAG